UGGGGUGAAAUUUAAAAAUGUUUCUUUUACAAUGAAAAUAAGCUUUGUUGGCCACUCUAA
rnacentral:tRNA from 1 species